rnacentral:rRNA from 1 species
UACGGGAUGUGCAAACGUUAUUCGGAAUCACUGGGCUUAAAGAGUCCGUAGGCGGCUUGUUAGGUGAGGUGUGAAAUCCCCCGGCUCAACCGAGGAAUUGCGCUUCAAACCGGCAAGCUCGAGGAGGAUAGAGGUGGGCGGAACUGAUGGUGGAGCGGUGAAAUGCGUUGAUAUCAUCAGGAACACCGGAGGCGAAAGCGGUCCACUGGGUCCUUUCUGACGCUGAGGGACGAAAGCUAGGGGAGCGAACGGG